rnacentral:rRNA from 1 species
GACGAACGCUGGCGGCGUGCCUAAUACAUGCAAGUAGAACGCUUAAGAGAGGAGCUUGCUCUUCUUGGAUGAGUUGCGAACGGGUGAGUAACGCGUAGGUAACCUGCCUUGUAGCGGGGGAUAACUAUUGGAAACGAUAGCUAAUACCGCAUAACAAUGGAUGACACAUGUCAUUUAUUUGAAAGGGGCAAUUGUUCCACUACAAGAUGGACCUGCGUUGUAUUAGCUAGUAGGUGAGGUAAUGGCUCACCUAGGCGACGAUACAGAGCCGACCUGGGAGGGUGGUCGGCCCCACUGGGACUGGGACAAGGCCCAGACUCCUGAGGGAGGCAGCAGUAGGGAAUCUUCGGAAAUGGGGGCAACCCUGACCGAGCAACGCCGCGGGAGUGGAGAAGGGUUUCGGAUCGUAAAGCUCUGUUGUAAGUGAAGAACGGGUGUGAGAGUGGAAAGUUCACACUGUGACGGUAGCUUAACAGAAAGGGACGGCUAACUACGUG